rnacentral:rRNA from 1 species
GUCCACGCCGUAAACGAUGGGCACUAGGUGUGGGAGGUGUCGACUCCUCCCGUGCCGGCGCUAACGCAUUAAGUGCCCCGCCUGGGGAGUACGGCCGCAAGGCUAAAAACUCAAAGGAAUUGAACGGGGGCCCGCACAAGCAGCGGAGCAUGUGGUUUAAUUCGAUGCAACGCGAAGAACCUUACCUGGGCUUGACAUGUAACUGACAGUCGUGGAAACACGAUCUUCCUUCGGGACAGUUACACAGGUGGUGCAUGGCUGUCGU